UCUUCGGAUCGUAAACCUCUUUCGAUGGGAAAGAAGCUCCCGACUUAACACGUCGGGAUUGACGGUACCCAGAGAAGAAGCCACGGCUAACUCCGUGCCAGCAGCCGCGGUAAUACGGAGGUGGCGAGCGUUACUCGGAUUCAUUGGGUGUAAAGGGCAGGUAGGCGUCCCGGCAAGUUUUAGGUGAAAUCCUUUCGCUUAACGAAAGAACUGCCUGAAAAACUGUCGGGAUUGAGGCCAAAAGAGGAGAGCGGAAUUCCCGGUGUAAGGGUGAAAUCUGUAGAUAUCGGGAGGAACACCAGUAGCGAAGGCGGCUCUCUGGUGUGGUCCUGACGCUGAGCUGCGAAAGCUAGAGUAGCAAACAGGAUUAGAUACCCUGGUAGUUCUAGCCGUAAACGAUGAGCACUAGGUGUUGGAGGUUAAACCUUCAGCGCCGCAAGAUAACUCGUUAAGUGCUCCACCUGGGGACUACGACCGCAAGGUUAAAACUCAAAGGAAUUGACGGGGGCCCGCACAGGCGGUGGAACAUGUGGUUCAAUUCGACGAUACGCGAAGAACCUCACCAGGGCUU
rnacentral:rRNA from 1 species